rnacentral:misc_RNA from 1 species
UACGAGGGGUCCAAGCGUUGUUCGGAAUUACUGGGCGUAAAGCGGGUGUAGGCGGCUUUGCAAGUCGGAUGUGAAAGCCCUGGGCUCAACCCAGGAAGUGCAUCCGAUACUGCUUAGCUUGAGUACUGGAGAGGGAAGUGGAAUUCCUGGUGUAGCGGUGAAAUGCGUAGAUAUCAGGAGGAACAUCGGUGGCGAAGGCGACUUCCUGGCCAUGUACUGACGCUCAGACCCGAAAGCGUGGGGAGCAAACAGG